GAGGGUAUAGCUCAGUGGUAGAGUGCAUGCCUAGCAAGCACGAAGUCCUGGGUUCAAUCCCCAGUACCUCCU
rnacentral:tRNA from 1 species